rnacentral:rRNA from 1 species
UACGGAGGGGACUAGCGUUGUUCGGAAUUACUGGGCGUAAAGCGCACGUAGGCGGAUUUGUAAGUCAGGGGUGAAAUCCCGGGGCUCAACCUCAAAAUCGCAGUCGAAACUAUUAGGCUAGAGUAUAGUAGGGGUAAAGGGAAUUUCCAGUGGAGCGGUGAAAUGCGUAGAGAUUGGAAAGAACACCGAUGGCGAAGGCACUUUACUGGGCUAUUACUAACACUCAGAGACGAAAGCUAGGGUAGCAAAUGGGG